rnacentral:rRNA from 1 species
CAAUAGCGUAUAUUUAAGUUGUUGCAGUUAAAAAGCUCGUAGUUGGAUUUCGGAUGGGACUUGCCGGUCCGUCGUUUCGAUGUGCACUGGCCAGUCCUAUCUUGUUGUCGGGGACUAGCUCCUGGGCUUCACUGUCCGGGACUAGGAGCUGACGAGGUUACUUUGAGUAAAUUAGAGUGUUCAAAGCAAGCCUACGCUCUGAAUACAUUAGCAUGGAAUAACGCGAUAGGACUCUGGCUUAUCUUGUUGGUCUGUGAGACCAGAGUAAUGAUUAAGAGGGACAGUCGGGGGCAUUCGUAUUUCAUUGUCAGAGGUGAAAUUCUUGGAUUUAUGAAAGACGAACUUCUGCGAAANCANNNGUCAAGGAUGUUUUCAUNAA